ACGGCUCCCCUAGGAGUGAACUCGGCGAUUGGGUUUGCCUGGUGCAAUGGGAGAGCAGCUACAACACCAAUGCCACCAACGUCAACACCAACGACAGCGUCGACUACGGUCUCUUCAUGAUCAACGACUACUGCUGGUGCUAUUCCAGCUCUCCGUACGCUGACUGCGCCGUCGAUUGCCAAG